AUUAGUUAGGUAUGAAAACGGAACUCCCAAUAUCUCUCGCCCUUUACCCAUGGUUCUCCGCCGAUCCACACGAUACUCACGCUGCAGCAACUCAAUCGAGCAGCCAUCCUCGGGAUUUCUUGCCGGAUGCAAGCCAGACUGCGCCAGUCAAUCGCUCCGCACUGUUGUCCCAAAAUUAUUAUUGACGGAUGCACCGCAGCCCAACCACCAUGGAGGAGGUGCCGCACGUCAUCGAGGACGACAUACCAAUGCACCGUCGUCCACGCUCGCCCGUUAUCGCCGGAGCUUACUGGCAAGGAGGCCAUUGAUCGGCAAUCCUUCCAAUUCUGCAAGGUUCAUCUGCUGCUCCCUUUGAAAUGCUGCUUCGUGGGCUUUUAACUCAAUCUAAUUCUAAUCUUAAAGGAGGUGCUGAUUCAAUCUAAUUUUGAUCUUAAAGGAGGUGCUGCUUUGAGGGUUAUUCGACCAUGUUGGUUCGUUUCUCGCAGAAGAAAGAAUAAACUAUGAACUCCUGCACUCCGGCAUUUGCUAAGCUGGUGCAUGAAAAAAAUGUACGACCAAAGACACACUGAGGAUCAAGGCGCAUGACAAAACACAUAUGACAGAUCAACACAUACCUAUGAGGUAUUGUAUGCAGCGGGGCUGCUGCUACAUCCAGUUGCUCCAAAUAUGAUCAUGUGAUGGCAGCUAUACAUCUGAUAUCUCACGCAGUUUUGUCUCAGUUCGUGCGAAACUAGCCGGAAUGGUCUGAUUCUUCUCAUGCAAUCUUCACGUAUAUGAGUACAUAAUUUAGACUAUUAGUACGUACAUAAGUUUCUUCUUUAAUCAUUUAGAAUUGUUUCUAAUGUGGCACAUGUAAUGUUUUUUUUUUCUUUUUGAAAUCUUCGUGCAUUGUAAUUCAUCGUGAAAGAUAGGAAAACACUUACCUGCCAGUUUGGAGGGCAUCCAACAUAAAAUAGAUUACAUACAGAUUUUGACACAUAAGAUUACGUUUUUAUGGUUUACCAAUGAUUCAUCUGCACUGCUAUUCCAGGAACGAAGUGGAUUUCUAAUAAUUUCUUAGUUCAUUAUUACUGGAUAUGUAAUGUGUUUUUAUUAAAUUUUUAUAUGGGCCGAGACACGCAAUGGCAGUGCAAGUCAAGAACUCUUACCAACACUACUAAAAACAGGUCGAAGGCGCAAGGCAUGGUAUAUCUAACUGAAAAGUGAUCCAUGACACCAACUACAUGCACGCUACUCUUCGCCUAAUAACUGACAUGGACAAUACAUUGCAGGUGCAACAGGGAAGUACGUACCAGAACCAAUCUGCACAAGGGCUUCAACCUUGACGUGUAUAGACAAGAAAGCAAAAUAAUAAAUGGCUGCAAUAUACAUAUAUAAGCCCAUGCUUACUGGUAAUUAAUUUGUCGUAUGGUGGUCUUCUUAUAGACAGUCUCAUUAUUGUUUUUUGUCAGAUCUUAAUACGCGCCGACGACUUUCUGAUUUAGUUAUUUCGAUUCUAUGGUUUUCCGCUGUGUAUAUUAACUCGGAUGCAUAGAUUUCACAAGUUAAUCAUUUGGAUUAUACUUGGUCAAUUGGAGCAGAUUUAAUU